AUGAGCAGUGGACGUCAACCGGAGAAGAAAACUGAGCGGCGAGCCAAGGUUUCAAAGAAUUCUGUUUUUUUUUCUUUUAUAGUUACGUCGUCUAUUUUAUAUUUAAUAGAUAUUUUAUAUUUUAUGAAGGAUAAUUGGAUGGUGGUGUUUUAUCAAGUUUCCGCCAACCCUUUCUUAAUUUCGUUUCCACCAAACUCUGAAGGUUAA